rnacentral:lncRNA from 1 species
UGUUGGAAUUAUUAUAUCUUCUAUUAGUAGUUUAGAUAACAUGAAAUAUAGACAUACUGUGAUAUAUACCUAUCCAUUGAUUUUUAGAUAUAGCACGCCUUUAAUCUACAUUGCUCUGAACCUAGUAAAUAGCAUUACUGUUUUGUAGUUAUGUUCGGAAUACACUAAGUGUUUUCGUCUCUAGAGAUGUUCCUGUCCCGUCCUAGUAUUCAUUCAGAUGUCUAUCACUGACAAUUACAAGAUAAUCAAGGCGAUUUGACCGACUAGAUAAAACAUAAUAGCGUUAAAUACGACCACAAGAUGUCUCUUCAAGUUUCGGUUCUCCGGAGAAUUUAGUUUUACAAUAGUCACAAAAAGUCAUGGCAGUAGUAU